rnacentral:rRNA from 1 species
AAUGAACGUUGGCGGCGUGGAUUAGGCAUGCAAGUCGAGCGAGAACCCCGCAAGGGGGGACAGCGGCAAACGGGGUAGUAAUGUGUCGGAACGUGCCCAGAGGACGGGGAUAGCGGCGGGAAACUGCCGGUAAUACCCGAUGAUCUCGAGAGAGCAAAGGUGUGAUUCCGCCUUUGGAGCGGCCGACAUGGUAUUAGCUAGUUGGCGGGGUAACGGCCCACCAAGGCUUUGAUGCCUAGGGGAUGUGCGAGCAUGAUCCCCACCAUUGGGACUGAGACACUGCCCAGACACCUACGGGUGGCUGCAGUCGAGAAUCUUCGUCAAUGGGCGAAAGCCUGAACGAGCGACGCCGCGUGCGGGAUGAAGGCCCUUGGGUUGUAAACCGCUGUCGAGGGGGAUGAAGGCAUUCAGGUACUCCUGAAUGUUUGACAGAGCCCUGGAGGAAGCACGGGCUAAGUUCGUGCCAGCCGCCGCGGUAACAC